AGUGAACGCUGGCGGUAGGCCUAACACAUGCAAGUCGAACGGCAGCACAGUAAGAGCUUGCUCUUACGGGUGGCGAGUGGCGGACGGGUGAGGAAUACAUCGGAAUCUACUUUUUCGUGGGGGAUAACGUAGGGAAACUUACGCUAAUACCGCAUACGACCUACGGGUGAAAGCAGGGGAUCUUCGGACCUUGCGCGAUUGAAUGAGCCGAUGUCGGAUUAGCUAGUUGGCGGGGUAAAGGCCCACCAAGGCGACGAUCCGUAGCUGGUCUGAGAGGAUGAUCAGCCACACUGGAACUGAGACACGGUCCAGACUCCUACGGGAGGGAGCAGUGGGGAAUAUUGGACAAUGGGCGCAAGCCUGAUCCAGCCAUACCGCGUGUGUGAAGAAGGCCUUCGGGUUGUAAAGCCCUUUUGUUGGGAAAGAAAAGCAGCAGGUUAAGACCCCGCUGUUCUGACGGUACCCAAAGAAUAAGCACCGGCUAACUUCGUG
rnacentral:rRNA from 1 species